rnacentral:rRNA from 1 species
UACGGGGGGGGCAAGCGUUGUUCGGAUUUACUGGGCGUAAAGGGCGCGUAGGCGGCCACCGCAAGUCGACUGUGAAAUCUCCGGGCUUAACCCGGAACGGUCAGCCGAUACUGCGGGGCUAGAGUGCAGAAGGGGCAACUGGAAUUCUCGGUGUAGCGGUGAAAUGCGUAGAUAUCGAGAGGAACACCUGCGGCGAAGGCGGGUUGCUGGGCUGACACUGACGCUGAGGCGCGAAAGCUAGGGGAGCGAACGGG